rnacentral:tRNA from 7 species
GGGCGGUUAGCUCAGCGGUAGAGCACUGGUUUUACACACCAUUGGUCGGGAGUUCGAUCCUCUCACCGCCCACCA